rnacentral:rRNA from 1 species
CGCGGCCUAUCAGCUUGUUGGUGAGGUAACGGCUCACCAAGGCUUCGACGGGUAGCUAGUCUGAGAGGACGAAUAGCCACACUGGGACUGAGACACGGCCCAGACUUCUACGGAAGGCAGCAGUGGGGAAUCUUGCACAAUGGGCGAAAGCCUGAUGCAGCGACGCCGCGUGGGGGAUGAAGGCCCUAGGGUCGUAAACCCCUUUCAGUGGGGACGAAACUGACGGUACCCACAGAAGAAGGUCCGGCCAACUACGUGCCAGCAGCCGCGGUAAGACGUAGGGACCGAGCGUUGUCCGGAUUUAUUGGGCGUAAAGAGCUCGUAGGCGGUUGCGUAAGUCGGAUGUGAAAACUUGAGGCUCAACCUCAAGACGCCAUCCGAUACUGCGCUGACUUGAAUCCAGUAGGGGAGUGUGGAAUUUGUUGUGUAGCGGUGAAAUGCGCAGAUAUGACAAGGAACACCUAUGGCGAAGGCAGCACCCUGGGCUGGUAUUGACGCUGAGGAGCGAAAGCAUGGGUAGCAAACAGGAUUAGAUACCCUGGUAGUCCAUGCCGUAAACGGUGGGCACUAGGUGUGGGGACUUCCAACGGUUUCCGUGCCGAAGCUAACGCAUUAAGUGCCCCGCCUGGGGAGUACGG